AGUAGUUUUGACUGAUAAAUAGUCAAUAUAAUAUCUUUAAUUAAAAAAUGGUGGAGGGAAGUGACUGGGGCAGUUAUACCUUACUAUUUAAAACACCUGAUAGCUAUCUGAGGGCUUUUUAAAGGUCAGUUAUUAACCAUGUGGGGAAAUGUAGUGGGCUAGAAGACAGCUAAGCCUUCUUGAGGAAUAAGGAUGGAAGGCUGAGCACGAAAGAGAUCCAAUUGCUCCCCCUACAAUGGGAUGGAAAUGGUGGUAACCAUCAGGAAAAGAAGAAAGCUACUCAAGAUAUGUUUUAAGUGUAUUUUGUAAAACAAGAAGAAAUUAUUUAUGAACAAGGACACGUACUAUUCCAGCUGUGUUGGAAGAGAAAUGUAACUGAUGAAUUAAGAAGUCUUUCCUGAUGCAGUUUUUGCUGAACUGCAAAAGGGCAGCUGAUCUUGAUGGAUCAUUUUGGCUGAUGUUGCUGCUUUGUGUGCCCAUCUCAAAGACGGUUACAAUUCUGCUGGAAAUAAUGUCGCUGGCUGUACGUGGUUGGAAUCAGAUUAAUGAAAGAUCCAUGGGAUGGAGAGACACUGUGACAGGAGAAGUGUGCCUGGACCAGACAGGCAUUUGAGAUGAAGAGAGGGCAGAUACUAAGGACUGUUAGGAACAGAAGUGAUUUUUUUUUUUUUUUUCAGGUUAAAAAAAAAAAAAAAAAGUUGAUAGUUUGGAUGGCCUCAGGCUGAGAAAAUAGUUUGAAAUAGAGAAGCAGAGAGGCUGGCGACAAGAGGAAGGCUGUCUGGAGUGAUGAGUGAACUGAUAGUGAAAUAGAAGGUAUUCUGCAUAAUUGAUGUCUCCUACAAAACACCAGUGUUCCAGUGUAACAUUGCUGGAGAUGAGCCUGUUGGAGAGAGGUGAGAUAAUGUGAGGAGUCCAAGGAAUGUCGACUUACCUGUCUGACAAAGUAUUUGAGCAUGGUGUUUGAGCAUAAAUAUUCUAGUGCAUUACCAAAGCAGGUGCUAAGCUGUGUCUGCUGGAGGAAGAGAAUGAAUUCUGUCUUUACCUGAUAGGAUUUCCCACCUAGAUAAUUAUGCUGACUUCUGUACUGAGAUCAAACCUAUUAAUUAUCAGUUUUUCCUUCAUACAUGCUGUCUGUACUGAAUCCUAAGCCAGGAUACUGGAGAGUUGAGACGUACCUUUGACUGCUGUGAACAUGAAGCAUGGCUUGGUGCACUUCAAAUAUCUGCGAUCCUUUUUCACUUCCUCAGUCUCUUCCAAAAUACCUGAGGGCACAGGUGAUCCUCUUUUGUUUCUAGGGACUCUGGAACUUUAUUCAUGAACUAGGGCUUUGAACCUCUACUAUGUUUAACACAUAGGGGUUUUUUGUUUGUUUGUUUGUUUUGUUUUUCCUUUUUUUUUUUUUUUUUCCAGGCUUUGAUUAAGAAGUUAUGGGAUUUAGUAUUAAGGCAUAUGUUUGACUUGUCUUUCUCAUCCCUCUAAGGAUAAAAAAAGAAGUUGUUGGGCAUCCACAUAAGAGUAUGUACAGGGGAUAGAAAAGUUGCAGAGGAGUACUGAGGAUGGAUGACUCUGAUAGUGUAUUGCUGUGACUUCAGUUCUGUCGUGUCACAAUGACUGACUGCGUACAUGUCCUUGUGUCCUUGCCUACCAGGGACCCACAGCAAGACAAAAUACUUUAGCUUCAAGCCUCCUCCAGCAUAGAAAUGCUGUUGUAUAUCUAAGCCACUUGUGGUUUUUCAAUUAUAGUUUUUUUUUUCCUAAUAAAAUAAAAUAUUACACAGUGUCCUGAUGGAUUGAAUAUUCUAUAAAUGAGCCACCCUUUCCACUUCCCUGUUCAUUAGUGGAAUUACUCUCAGCAAAAAUAUUUUGUAUUUAUGUCUUGGCAAGAACUGCCUUAGGAUUGUGGAGAGCACAGUGCAGGUUAUUGUGAAAAGAGGGGACCUGUAUUCCAAGGUGUGAUGUUUGUAAUUUAUAGCAGCUGUUAAAGGGCAGCUAAUAACAAUUUAAUCACAGCUCAAAACUUUUCUAGGCUUCUUUGCCUAACUGUACUCCAUAUUGCUGUGGCUAAAUUUCUGUUAGUACUGGAGCUGGCUGAUGGAAAGCUGCCUCUCACAUUGUGAAAUUUAAAUAUACUACUUGCUUUUCUGGAACUUUCUAUAUGUCCACCUCUUUUUUUUUUUUUAAUUUUAUUUUAUUUUAUUUUUUAAAGAAGGUAUGUAAAAUUUUAAGUAAUUUAAGUGCUUUGAAAUAUCUCAGUACGCGUAAUCUCAGUACUGAGAAACUGUGAGUGGAAAGAUGCUUAUGAGGUUACACUGGGUAAGGCCUUUGGCACUGUUCACUGCAGCUAUAAAAAUUCAAUGAGGAAAUGAUGAAAUUGUGUCAGAGGAAAUUGUUCCAGCAGAGAACUCAAAACUAUAAAAAUAAAUAAAUUUGCUGUCUUGUGUAAUGUUAAUGACAAUUUGGAAAAAAGAUACUUUGGGCCUUUUUGUCCAGAUGUUGGGAAAAAAAUGCAAAGUGCCAUUUAAACUAUUUUCCUUGUGAUAAACUCAAGGGUGGGGCAAAAAUCUCAGCAUCCAUCCAGUCUCACUUACUCUAAAAUGACUGGCAUAAAUCUCUGUGCAGCAGGAGAGAGAUUGUUCAUGGAGCUCCCUUUUUUGCUUAGUAGACUUACAAAGACAACAUGCCUUCUAUAGAAGGAAGAUCAAGGGAAAGUCUUAUACAUGCUCCUGGUGUGAGUUGUCCUAGGAACCAAUUACCAGAGUUUGUCAUGGAGUAUCGACUCAUUGUAGUGAAAAACACAG